rnacentral:ribozyme from 1 species
UGCCCAGCACCUCCUAUCCCUACCUCCGCGUGGCUCCGGUCAGACUGCGAGCAACCUUGGGGAAGAUCGGGUAACCAACCUCGGUGGGAACUUUGGUUGUUAGCUAAUAGAGAAGG